CCUAGUGGGCGGAGCGACUUUUGUAGUCUUUUUAGUCAUGUCAACAACAUGCCGGAGUCCAGAAGUGAGGCAGAGACACGAGAAAGAACUUCUAAAAACAUAAUUUCGAUCACUAGGUUUGGCCUCUGAGAUCCCAGCAAGGUUCAUAGAGGGAGAGUCCAGACCGUCACAGAGAGAGCCCUGGAGGAGGGGUACACCCCCAUCUACCUCCCUCUCCUCCCCCCUGCUGGCUAAAGGUGGUGGUGGUGGUGGUGUGUUUCCCCUGGCUGUGCACCUGGUGGGGGUGGAGCUGACCCCAGAGGGGAGGGUGUGGCUGGAGCAGCACCUGAGCCCGGCCCAGACGGUGUGGUUCAAACUGUUCAGCAGAGAGGAGGAGACACUACACUGUCUGGUGUCUGUUAGCGGGGCCAGUUACUGUCUGGUGUCUGUUAGCGGGGGGUCAUAGAGGAGUCUGUGUCUGAAUGACGAGGUGUUGAGGUUGGGUCUGGCACGCACCGUCCCAGUCUCUGGACUCCACCCCCAGUCCUGCGGCUCCACCAACGGCUACUCAGGGCAGAGGUCAAGGCUGAGCGGAAGGGGCGGGGCAUGUGGAAAGAAGACAGCCUAUGGGAGAGGACCUCACAGGCUGUCUGACUCAGACUCAUCAGGAGGAUCUUCAAGUGGACGUGAUUGGUUGACUGACAGUGAUUGGUUGAUUCAAGUGGGUUUGAAAGUGUGCUGGAGUCAGAGCAGAUCCCCACCAGCUGCAACCUGUUCCAUAAUCAAGACCUCUACAAAUACUCAGUCCUGCCACUUCCACACUGCCAGAUCGUAAUCUCUGCUCAGUCAGUCUACGGUUCUAGCCGUUUGUUACUAAUCAGAUCCUGUUGUGCCUGUUUUCCUCUCCGCUACAGUUCUGGUCCCUGUCUCCUGUCCCACGUCUCAUCAUCCUCCUACUCUGUCCUGGAUUCCCCACUCUACUACUCCCUUGGAUUCCCCUCCGGACCUGCUCACCCUGUCUCAACCCCCUUCGCUCCAGCCGCUUCCAGCAGUUUCCCCUGACCUGCACUCCAUCUCCCCCCUGUGUCUCAAUAAAUACCUUGGUUACUUCAUUCCAUUCAUCAGAGUCUGCUCUUGGGUUCCCCUGUUCCACUCCGCGUAACACGUGGGAUAGACAUUUGUUGAUGUUUGAUUAGAUCAUGUAAAAAAGAACUUGCCAGUGAGAAAAAUCCACAUAUCUAAGUCAAUUGCAAUGUUUUAGAAUCUUUACCUGAUUGUGAAAUAAAUAUUCAUUGGUUCAUUCA